rnacentral:misc_RNA from 1 species
UGUGAUUCUGUUAGCCUCUGUUGGCAG